UAGGGAAUCUUCCGCAAUGGGCGAAAGCUUGACGGAGCAACGCCGCGUGAGUGAUGAAGGUCUUCGGAUCGUAAAACUCUGUUAUUAGGGAAGAACAAAUGUGUAAGUAACUAUGCACGUCUUGACGGUACCUAAUCAGAAAGCCACGGCUAACUACGUGCCAGCAGCCGCGGUAAUACGUAGGUGGCAAGCGUUAUCCGGAAUUAUUGGGCGUAAAGCGCGCGUAGGCGGGUUUUUAAGUCUGAUGUGAAAGCCCACGGCGCAACCGUGGAGGGUCAUUGGUAACUGGAAAACUUGAGUGCAGAAGAGGAAAGUGGAAUUCCAUGUGUAGCGGUGAAAUGCGCAGAGAUAUGGAGGAACACCAGUGGCGAAGGCGACUUUCUGGUCUGUAACUGACGCUGCUGUGCGAAAGCGUGGGGAUCAAACAGG
rnacentral:rRNA from 1 species